AUUGAAAGCUGGCGGCAGGCCAAACACACGCAAGUCGAACGAGUGGCGGACGGUUGAGUAAUGUCUGGGAAAAUGCCUGAUGGAGGGGGAUAACUACUGGAAAAGGUAGCUAAUACCGCAUACCAUCGGAUGUGCCCAGAUGGGAUUAGCUAGUAGGGGGGGUAAAGGCGCACCUCGGCGACGAUCCCUAGAUGGUCUGAGAGGAUGACCAGCCGCACGGGAACUGGGACACGGUCCAGAUUCCUACGGGAGGCAGCAGUGGGGAAUAUUGCACAAUGGGCGCAAGCCUGAUGCAGCCAUGCCGCGUUUAUGAAGAAGGCCUUCGGGUUUUAAAGUACUUUCAGCGGGGAGGCUUUACCCGCAGAAGAAGCACCGGCUAACUCCGUGCCAGCAGCCGCGGUAAUAC
rnacentral:rRNA from 1 species